GAGUUUGAUCCUGGCUCAGAUUGAACGCUGGCGGCAGGCCUAACACAUGCAAGUCGAGCGGUAGAGAGAAGCUUGCUUCUCUUGAGAGCGGCGGACGGGUGAGUAAUGCCUAGGAAUCUGCCUGGUAGUGGGGGAUAACGCUCGGAAACGGACGCUAAUACCGCAUACGUCCUACGGGAGAAAGCAGGGGACCUUCGGGCCUUGCGCUAUCAGAUGAGCCUAGGUCGGAUUAGCUAGUUGGUGAGGUAAUGGCUCACCAAGGCGACGAUCCGUAACUGGUCUGAGAGGAUGAUCAGUCACACUGGAACUGAGACACGGUCCAGACUCCUACGGAGGCAGCAGUGGGGAAUAUUGGACAAUGGGCGAAAGCCUGAUCCAGCCAUGCCGCGUGUGUGAAGAAGGUCUUCGGAUUGUAAAGCACUUUAAGUUGGGAGGAAGGGCAGUAAAUUAAUACUUUGCUGUUUGACGUUACCGACAGAAUAAAGCACCGGCUAACUCUGUGCCAGCACG
rnacentral:rRNA from 1 species